GGCGAGUUGGCCGAGAGGCUAGGCAGAGGACUGCAAAUCCUUCUACAGCGGUUCGAAUCCGUUACUCGCCU
rnacentral:tRNA from 2 species